AUGGGAUUGCAAAGAGUCGGACACGACUGAGCGACUGAACUGAACUGAACAGAACCUUUUGUUGGUUAUACAUGUUGCAAAUAUGUUCUUUCAAUGUGUAUCAUGUAUUUUUACUUUAGUUAUAGUAUAUUUUAAGGAACAGAAGUUUUCAGUGUCAAAGAUUUUCAAUCCAUCCUUUUAUGAUGAGCAUAGAAUUAGGAAAUAAGAAAGGUGUUAUAGUCUGUAUUAAUUGCUGUUAUUUCCUGUGCUCAGGAUCUUUUGCUGGUCCCAUGAAGAAUUUAGUAUGAUCUUUACUAUGAAAAAUUCUGAUUGUCAGAAUAGUUCAUUCCACAUUUCUCGAGAUUUUGAUGAUUCAGAGGAAAAGAGAUUGGGUAAAUCUGUUGGUAACUGAUAUACCAAGUUCACUUAAAGAAAGCUUGAAGUCUUCUUGGGAUCAUAGGGAAGGUGAGAAAGAAAAUGAAAGGAUGAGAGUGUCUCUUUUACAUUGUUUUGAAAGUUCAAGGAAGUGAUUAACCAUAGAAUCCUAUAGCAAAUUCCAUAGACAAUGGGAAAAAACAACUCAUCAAGAUUGUACUUCCCUGAUUCUCUUACAUGACUUCUCUGAGCUACUCCCUCCGGGCGGAACCCCACAGCUUUCAUUUUUCGUGAGGUAAAUAUACAACUAAAUUGGAAAGCUACUAAUGGUUGAAAUGGUAGAAAAAGAGGAAAUUUUAUUGUCUUUCUUUAAGCAUUACCUGUAGAUAAUGUUAUUUCAUUGGUAAUAUCUAAAGAUUCAGACUGGUGGAAUUCUAACUUGUUUUUCCCACAAGUGGGGUGGAAGUUUUAAUUAAUCAAAAUGGGCUAGAUGUGAAAAAUAAAAUGGUAUUUUUUCAGACUUGAGGAAGUGAAUAGGAGUAAAAUUUAUGGGGUCUAAGACCCAAAAGUUAUCCUUUGAUAUAGGCUGGAAAGAACUACUAAAAUUAAGACACAAGACAGCAAAAGUCUCCACUUAAGGUUUGUAAAUCUGAAAUGAUACUUUAUUUUUUUAAAUCUAUGU
rnacentral:lncRNA from 1 species